rnacentral:rRNA from 1 species
UACGGAGGGUGCGAGCGUUGUUCGGAGUUACUGGGCGUAAAGCGCGCGUAGGCGGUGCGGUAAGUCAGGGGUUAAAGGCUGCAGCUCAACUGCAGUAAGGCCUUUGAUACUAUCGUGCUAGAGUGUCAGAGAGGAUGGCGGAAUUCCCGGUGUAGCGGUGAAAUCCGUAGAUAUCGGGAGGAACACCAGAGGCGAAGGCGGCCACCUGGGCCAAGACUGACGCUGAGGUGCGAAAGCGUGGGGAGCAAACAGG